CCUACGGGAGGCAGCAGUGAGGAAUAUUGGUCAAUGGACGAGAGUCUGAACCAGCCAAGUAGCGUGAAGGAUGACUGCCCUAUGGGUUGUAAACUUCUUUUAUAUGGGAAUAAAAUGUUCCACGUGUGGGAUUUUGUAUGUACCAUAUGAAUAAGGAUUGGCUAACUCCGUGCCAGCAGCCGCGGUAAUACGGAGGAUCCGAGCGUUAUCCGGAUUUAUUGGGUUUAAAGGGAGCGUAGGUGGAUUGUUAAGUCAGUUGUGAAAGUUUGCGGCUCAACCGUAAAAUUGCAGUUGAAACUGGCAGUCUUGAGUACAGUAGAGGUAGGCGGAAUUCGUGGUGUAGCGGUGAAAUGCUUAGAUAUCACGAAGAACUCCGAUUGCGAAGGCAGUUCACUGGACUGCAACUGACACUGAGGCUCGAAAGUGUGGGUAUCAAACAGGAUUAGAUACCCUUGUAGUC
rnacentral:rRNA from 1 species